rnacentral:rRNA from 1 species
GCCAGCAGCUAUAUCACAUGAAAACACAACUGGCAGCCCCACUGAAGCUCAGCAGGUGUGAGCCUGGUCAGUACCCGGAUGGAAGACCUCCUGUGAAAGUUAAGGUUGUUGCUGGAA